CUAGUGAUUCUGGAGACUUUAUAGAGCUGACGGUGGAACACUGGAUGAUUGACAGCUGUCAUUCAGAAAUCAUCCUCAUCACCAUCAUGACUUUGAUGUCAGUCCUCGUCUGGACUCUGCUCUGCUGCUGCUUCACAGAGGUCAGAGGUCAGAUCACAGUCACUCAGCCCGCAGCAGUCAGCUCGACUUUGGGAGGCUCUGUCACCAUCACAUGCAGGACCAGUGUUGGAGUGAAUGGUGGUACUUACUUAUCCUGGUACCAACAGAAAGAUGGAGAAACUCCUAAACUCCUUAUUUAUGAUGCCAGAAGUCGAGCGUCAGGGAUCCCAAAUCGAUUUACAGGCAGUGGAUCAAACACUGACUUCAGUCUGACCAUCAGUGGAAUCCUGGCUGAAGAUGCGGCCGUUUACUACUGUCUGGGUCAAUUCUAUGUGAACAGCAACUAUGUGUUCACACAGUGAAAAACCAUCGUACAAAAACC